CCCCUUUGCAAAAUCAUGACCCCCCUUGAUUUUGACAUGGCGCAUUUUUAUUAAAAAAAAUUGCCACCUAUGAUUUUUGUUAUCCAUCUGGAUUUAAAAGUAAUUAUCAGUCCCGUGAGCAUAGCUCAAUUGGUAGGACAAUGCAUUAUUAUAUGCAGGGUCUGGGGUUCGAACCCCAGACACCCCACUUAUUAACCUUAUAAGGUGAAUUCUAGCCACUAGACUAC
rnacentral:lncRNA from 1 species